UACGGGGGGGGCAAGCGUUGUUCGGAAUUACUGGGCGUAAAGGGCUCGUAGGCGGCCAACUAAGUCAGACGUGAAAUCCCCAGGCUCAACCUGGGAACUGCGUCUGAUACUGGAUGGCUUGAAUCCGGGAGAGGGAUGCAGAAUUCCUGGUGUAGCGGUGGAAUGCGCAGAUAUCAGGAGGAACACCGAUGGCGAAGGCAGAUCUCUGGGCCGUAACUGACGCUGAGGAGCGAAAGCAUGGGGAGCGAACAGG
rnacentral:rRNA from 1 species